UUUUUCCUUUUUAAGCUAUAGAGUCCUUUUGGUACGAAGAUAACGCCAGUCUUGUGUUACAAGAUUGCAUGCAUCUAGUGGAAAUGCUGGUCCGAGUUAACGGAGAGCUGGAAAUAGAGAAUGGGUGCAAGAGCCUCGACAUGUCACUCAACUGGAAGGGUAGAUUGUUUAGCCUGCACCCGAUCAGCAUUGAGGGUGUCACACCUCUAACCC
rnacentral:lncRNA from 1 species